UACGGAGGGGGCUAGCGUUGUUCGGAAUUACUGGGCGUAAAGAGCUCGUAGGCGGUUUGGCAAGUCGGGUGUGAAAACUCCGGGCUCAACUCGGAGACGCCACUCGAUACUGCUAUGACUCGAGUCCGGUAGGGGAGUGCGGAAUUCCUGGUGUAGCGGUGAAAUGCGCAGAUAUCAGGAGGAACACCGGUGGCGAAGGCGGCACUCUGGGCCGGUACUGACGCUGAGGAGCGAAAGCGUGGGGAGCGAACAGG
rnacentral:rRNA from 1 species